GACGAACGCUGUCGGCGUGCUUAACACAUGCAAGUCGAACGAAGUGGCGAACGGGUGAGUAAUACGUGGGUAACUGCCCUCCUUUUUGGGAUAAGCCUUGGAAACGGGGUCUAAUACCGAAUAAAGGGGGAUGGGCUUGCGGCCUAUCAGCUUGUUGGUGUGUUGAUGGCCUACCAAGGCGGUGACGGGUAGCCGGCCUGAGAGGGGCUCGGACGCAUUGGGCGGAGACCCGGCCAUGACUCCUACGGGGGGCAGGAGUGGGGAAUAUUAGGCAAUGGGCGCAAGCCUGAAGCAGGAACGCCGCGUUAAGGAAGACGGUCUUCGGAUUGUAAACUUCUUUAGACAGGGGCGCGGUACCUGUAGAAUAAGCCACGGCUAACUACGUGCCAGCCGCCGCGGUAAUUC
rnacentral:rRNA from 1 species